AAAGUUAAUAAGCUAUUUUCUAUUAGUACGCUUAACCUAAACGAACGGCGAGCAAUUCAUUACGGCAGUUAAAUCUAAAAUCACACAAAUAAUUAGUUGGUAUCCAUGCAACAAUAACCGUCAGAGUAUCAAUUGUUGUCUGACUCCGAGCGCGUAGUAAACGAAUUUUAUAACCGCCCCCACAUUGAACUCAAAUAAACGGUUUAUAAAAACGGAAUCUGCUCUUUGUUGUAUGGUGAGCCAACAAAUUAUAAAAUUCGUUUAGUUCAGCCGAACAAAAUGUCUAGCCGCAAUACCAGCAAAUCAGGCGCAUACGGUGGAUCGAAAGGCGAUAGAUCGGAUAAGGAUAGAAGUGAUACUCCCGCCGGAGUAGAAAGCUUACCAGUGGUGACAAUUACGACGGAAGAAGUGGUGCAGACUCGCCCAGGAUGGUCUUGUAAAUCUUGUAGAGAACCCGACGAUAGUGCUAUGGUGCAGUGCGAUCUCUGCC
rnacentral:lncRNA from 1 species